GCUGAGUGAGUGUUCAGAUCAAGUGCCAACGAAUAAAGGGAGAUAUCAAAAAUUGGUUGGCAAACUUAUAUACUUGUCUCAUACUCGUCCAGAUAUUGCCUAUGCCGUAAGUGUAGUUAGCCAGUUUAUGCAUAGCCCUAGCAAAGACCACAUGGAUGCUGUGACUCGAAUACUUCGAUAUCUAAAGUCCUCACCAGGGAGGGGACUGAUGUUUUCAAAGAAUGAUCACUUGAAAGUUGAUGGCUAUACAGAUGCAGAUUGGACGGGGAACAUUUCAGAUAGGAGGUCUACCUCAGGCUAUUUCAUGUUUGUAGGCGGUAAUCUCGGUACAUGGAGAAGUAAGAAGCAAAAAGUGGUAUCAUUAUCGAGUGCUGAAGCGGAGUUUCGUGGAAUGGCAAAAAGGAUUUUGUGAACUCCACUGGAUCAGAAAACUGCUCACUGAACUUGGCUUUGCUCCUAUUACUGAGAUGGAUCUAUACUGUGACAACAAAGCUGCCAUUGCCAUAUCUUAUGACCCGGUUCAACAUGAUAGAACAAAACAUGUGGAAAUAGAUCGACACUUCAUCAAGGAAAACUUGAUAGCAAAGACAAUUCGUUUCCCUUUUGUAAAGUCCGAGGAUCAACUAGCAGACAUACUCACAAAAGCAGUUUCAAGCAAGGACUUUCACAACUCACUUGACAAGUUGGGCAUCACAGACCUGUAUGCAUCAAUUUGAGGGGGAGUGUUGGCAUGAGUUGUUAGAAAUCCUUUUCUGGAAACAUAAAUCAUAUAUAAGUGUAUCAUUUUAAGGGAAUAGAAUUAGGCAAUUAUGUGUAGAAUCAAUUAAUUAGCUACAGAUUUGUGAUUAUCCAAAAUUAGGAGUUUUUUUUUGCUAUAUAAACUCUGUAACCC
rnacentral:lncRNA from 1 species